UUAACUCAAAUUUGUAUUGAAUUGAAACGUUUGCCUACGUUUGCCGCUAGGGGCGCUGUUCCAACUGCAUACAAAUUUGAGUUA
rfam:Bombyx mori DNA, contig: Bm_scaf12_contig9595, strain: p50T/Dazao, build 2, whole genome shotgun sequence.